UACGAAGGGUGCUAGCGUUGUUCGGAGUUAUUGGGCGUAAAGCGUAUGUAGGCUGUUUAGUAAGUCAGUUGUGAAAGCCCUAGGCUCAACCUAGGAACUGCAACCGAAACUGCUUUACUUGAGUUUGGUGGGGGAUGGCGGAAUUCUUAGUGUAGGGGUGAAAUCCGUAGAUAUUAAGAGGAACACCGGCGGCGAAAGCGGCCAUCUACACCAACACUGACGCUGAGAUACGAAAGCGUGGGGAGCAAACAGGAUUAGAUACCCCAGAGU
rnacentral:rRNA from 1 species